UUAGGAUCUCCGUUAUCCUACCACCUUGCGCCCGAGGGCGGACGGGGAGGGGCGCCUGGCCCGUUUUGCUCGGGGGAACGACCCAGCCACGAAGCUCAUGGGACGCAGGACGGCCGAGGCCCUGCGCCUGACCCCGGAGAAGCCCCGUGCACGCGCCAGCCUCCCGGACCCAAGUGGAGUGUCCAGCCCGGCUGUCCGCGCCCAGCGUGCGGCCACCGGCGGCGUCCGUCGUAGCGAGCCCGGCUCGGCGGAGGGAAAUGAUCGCGAGCUGUCUGAACGCGCGUUUUCUUGUCGGCCCCGCUGUAGGCAGGGGGUCUGCAAACUCAACAAAGAUUCCAGAACCCCAGCCCUAACUGCUCAUCCGCAGUCCCCGUCUUUAAGAUAAAUUAACACGACGUGGGAGAGAGAAAGAACCAGAGGAACAGAAGAGGGAUACACUGGAUAGAAGAACUACUAGUCCAGUGAUCUUCAAACAGUUACUCUCUUAUCCCCAAAAGAAUUGAUCAGGAUGAAAUUUGCAGCAUAAUGUAUAAUGUCACUUGGUGGAACAUUCAGGAAGCCUCCAGAGAGGCCGAGAGGCCCACAGGAAUGGAGAUCACCAUCCCACAGCCAGCAAAUACUGAGACUUGCAGAAGACUACACGAGUGAGCUUGGAAGUGAAUUCUCCAGCCCUAGGCAAGCUUCGAGGUGACAUUAGUCCCCCAACCCAACAACUUGACAGCAACCUCUGGGGACCCUAAGCCAUUCCCUGAUUCCUGACUCUCAGAAACUGUAGGAGAGAAUAAGUGCUGUUUUAAGCUCCUACGUGAGAAGUAAUCUGUUACACAGCUACUAUCAUCUGCUUAAAAAAAAAAACAGCCA